rnacentral:rRNA from 1 species
UACGAGGGGGGCAAAUGUUGUUCGGAAUCACUGGGCGUAAAGGGAGCGUAGGCGGGUUUCUAAGUCAGGUGUUUAAUCCCGGGGCCCAACCCCGGACAGGCACUUGAAACUGGGAAUCUUGAAUAGGGGAGAGGUCAGUGGAAUUGGAGGUGUAGCGGUGGAAUGCGUAGAGAUCUCCAAGAACACCAGUUGCGAAGGCGGGCUUCUGGUUGACUUCUGACGCUGAGGUGCGAAAGCUAGGGGAGCGAACGGG